UCAAAAGAAUGCAUCUAAACUCGCAAUAGGACUAUUUAUAAGUGAGGAGCACAACAGAAAGCAGGCCCAAGCCCAGCAGACAACCGCCCAGCGGAACAAGUGUGGCGCCUGGCGGUUUCCCUUAAAUCGCACUACCGCCCGGCGGCAGGGGUCUACCGCCCGGCGGUGUGCCUCUAAUCGCAAAUCCGCCCAGCGCCCACGCCAGGUGCCUACUCCUCACCCUGGACUGC
rnacentral:lncRNA from 1 species